CACAAACAAAGCAAGCAUGUGAAUCUGAGCGUGUGCGUCUGACUUCAGAGUUUAAUACCAACCAAGCUGACUAAAACAAAGGGGGAUGCUGCAUUACUAGUCACCACGCAGCUGCAUGACCAUUUCAACAAAGACGGAAUAAACAACCUCUGGAUUCAUGGAGCUUGUCUGCACACAGAUAUAUUAAUUGGAAUAUUCAAUAAAUUUCACAUAGAAA